UAAGUUGUUCGGUAAGUAGCACAAAAUGGAGUACUUCCUGUACAGACUCAAGCUCCUUCCUUCCCAGGGCGUGACACCUUCGUUACACUCUCGGUAACAUAGUAUAGAGAGCUCCGCGAACGGGCUAUCACUGUGAUAAGCUUGGUACAGACUGUUUACAUUAGUUACUCAUUUUCUACCUCAUUUGCACAAAUAAUAUGGCACAAUGGUAAGACAUUUUUGUUGUCCAACUGAUUUAUGACAUAGACAUUGCAGUUGUGCAGAGUAUUUGAAUUAGAGAUAAUUUGGAAAAAUAAUUCAGAUCCAAAUGUCAACUAGUGAAGUGUCGUCUGCUAGGCUAAGCAUACCAAUGCUAUCAAAAGCCUUAAACUUCAUUUGUUGUUGAAAAUUAUAACAACUAUCUAUAUCUGCAUCAAUAUAUUCAUGUUUGCAAACAAUAUGCAAAAUAUCACCAUUCACAUGAAUUGAAAGUUUGAUGAAAACUGUAUAUACUACUUUCCAAACCACUUAUCAUACUGCCAUAGGGUCUCUAUUGACUAUGCAAAUAAGGAAGAGAUUUUAUUUUUGUCUCUAAAUUGAUUACUAAAAUAGAUUGAAAGGAUUUGAUUUGAAGAUUCUAUUUUCAUCUGAACUAUUAUGUUUGAUAUCAACCUUCAAAGGACAAGAUUUAUUUGGCAAUAUGAGCCCUAAAAUGAUUCAAAUGAAAUGUUACAUAAUUUUUAGCAAACACAUUAUUGGUUAUUGGUACAGUCUGCACUGUAAAUAUGUUAAAUAAUUGAUGUUUGUCUAUGUCAGUGGUUAAUAUUUCAUAAUUCAAUUUCAUAUUUAUUUGAGUUUUAAACUUUUGAAACAUUAUAGUUAAUAUUGUGCUAUUCCACUUCCCUUCAAUAUAUUAUUAGUAUUUUUGCAUAUUUAAAGAGAAAUAAUUAAUCCUUUCUUUCUUCAUUUUCAGUCAGGGGUUGAAUGUUUAUUCAAGCUGGUUGGCUGUUGUAAUAACCCAAAUUAGAAGCUGACAACUGUCUAAUGGUCAACAUAUCAUAUCUAUAUUUUUUAGGCUAGCAAGACCAGACAGGAUGACCUACAAUUAGUAAUUGAAAAAAAUAUAUCUUCUCCUGAUGUUAAUGAAUUAUUUUACCACAAAAACUGUGUUUCUACUUAAACAUCAAAGACUCACCUUAAAAGACUUUCAAAAUCUUGUUCAGAUAAAUGCCUGCCAGAACCAUUCAAAAAGAGAAGGCGUCGUUCAGUUUUAGGCACUGGCUUUAACUUUCUAAAACAUUGCUUAUUCUGUGGGAACCCAUGUGAAAUUGAAAAAGACUCUAGAAAUCCUGGACGGUGGAAGAGAUCUGAUGGCCAAAGAUCAUUCAAGAAUAUAAUUCUUGGGACAUGCAAUAUACGCCAGGAGUGAGUGAGUGAGUGAGUUUGAUUUUACGCCGCUUUUAGCAAUAUUCCAGCAAUAUCACGGCGGGGGGACACCAGAAAUGGGCUUCACACAUUGUACUCAUGUCGGGAAUCGAACCCGGGUCUUCGGCGUGACGAGCGAACGCUUUAACCACUAGGCUACCCGACCGCCCUAUACGCCAGGAUAAGUGGGGAGAUGAAGUAUGACUUAGAGUAGAUGGUGCCACAAUUGAUCUUCAUGCUGCAGAUGCAAGAUAUCAUGACAAAUGCAGAACAAAUUUUAUGGCCCCUAAAUCUGUACAAUGAGCUUCUUCAAAACGGAAGGCACCGAAUCAAUUUCAGACGAAUCACUCUAUUAUGUGAUCAGAUCAAUGAAUGCUGAUCGGAAACAAAUUAGAAAUUCCACAGAAGUAUACAAUCAGUACCUAGAGAGUGGAGGGGUCAUGCUUUCAAAAAGACAGUUUAUUGAAGAAAUAUGAAGGUGCUUUGCUGAUGAACUGAUUAUUCUAAGAGGAAAUGGAAUAGCUAGUAUUCUUAUUUUCCGUGAAACUGCCACAGACACCCAUAAGUUGGUUCUUGAUGAAACUGGAGAUGAUGAUUUGACUUCUUCCAUGAAGAAACUUUCAAAACAAGUAAGAAAGGAAACUAAAGAAAUACCACUCUCCAAAGAAGAAUACCAGACAAGAAUAGACUGCCAAAUUGCUGGGGAGAGUUGUAGUACUCUUGAGUAACAUUCUUCAAGGUGAAGAUCCUGUGCUACCAGUCCUGAUGAUUCGUAACAUGAUGACUGGACUUCUAAGAAAGCAACCAACACCACCACUACAGACAACUCUUGGAGUUUUCAUCAAAGCAAAUGAUCCCAUUCAAGAACUGAACAAGUUUGGCAUUGUGUGUACUUACGGUGAAGUUCUUCGAUUUAAGAAGUCAGCCGCACUUGCAACCGAUGAUGUUGCAUCUAGAGGCCUGAACUCUUCAUCACAAACAGAAACUCCCCUUGUACAAGUUGUAGUUUACAACUUUGAUGCCAAUAUUUCCAGUCAAAAUGGACUCCAAUCAACACAUGCUCUUGCUAUGCUUCUAACUCAGACACUUGAUGGCAAACACUGAUGACAAAGGUACAUUUCGUCGGAUAAAGAAAGAGGAAAUGACAGAAAGUAGAAGAUGACAUCAUACAACAACGGUACACGGGUAAAAAAAAGCCACACAUGCCCAAGGACUCCACCAUAAAGAGAGUGUUACCACUGAAAAUUUUAGCCAUGCAGGUAUUUCCACUGAAACUGACACUUGCGGCAUGGCUGCCCUCUUCAACAGAAGUGACCCAGAAGGCUACGUCACACAAGUUCGAUCAUUUGAUUGGUUGGCUUGUCGCAUAACCGGGAUGACAUGUAUGGACGAUCUCUUGUGUCAAAAUCUGAAUUAGAACAGUCCACAGUUGUUUUAAGAUAUCUUUGUCCAUCAAACGUUCAUUUUAUGUUUUAAUAUUGAAAAAACAACAACGAAAAGUCACAAAUAUCCAGCUUAUUUACAAGGUUGAUGCAGGGAGUUUUUCUUCAGGUUCAUCAUGACGGGCACCAAAACUCAGAAUGUCGACGCACAACAAACUGGCGUGCAGAAACGUAUAUGUGUCCAGUGCUGACAUGUAGGGUGGGUACAUUGUGCCCAGGUUGUAAUGAUCAGUGAGAUAUGAGCUCGAACCUCAUCGGGUACAGAUUGGUUACAUUUGCAGCAGAGUUCGUCAUCUUUUGUCACAUCACUAUCGUACAAAUCAAAACUAUCGUCUUGAUGCACAGUGACAGUAGUUUUUUUAAAGAUUUACUUGGUUUAGGUGCUUGCUUUCUUUUUAUGGGUGCCGAUUUCACAGUCUGGUGGGAAAUAAUUUUAUUCAGAAUGACGUCUUCGGUGAUGGCCUUGCCCCCGACAACAUCGCUCAAAACGUUUCUCUUUUUAGUAGGCACAUUUUCUUGAAAAGUACAGUCGUCUUUAAAGAAUCCUGCUACAUCACUGCCCUCAGUAGGUGACAUCCUUGUCUCCAUCUGGCACAUUUGAAUCAAUAACCCCAGUAUCAGGUGAAGCAAACGUUCAGUCGACUAAAAAACUGUUGAAGGCGCAAAGUUGAUAUUGGCGGUGGUAGACUUGCCAAAUGGGGAGACUCCACAUUUCCUGAAAGAGGACUGCAGAUUGGUUGGUGUCAGCGACAGGUUAUAAGCUCUACAGCCAAGUUCACUAACAGAAUGUUUAUCUACUGAACUUGUAGCAUUUUCCCGCAUAUAUGUAUGACGGAGGUUGCUGUAAAUUUUAGCAAAAGGUCCAAAGCAACCAACAUCCAUUGGCUGUAAAACAUGGGACGUGUGUGCAGGCAGUACAAACAAAAUAAUGUGGUGCUGACACGCCCAUUCGAUCAGUGGAAUAGAUACGUGGGAUCUAUGACCAUCGUACACAAUAAGAAGUGGACUAUCUGUAGACGCGGCGACAGCAUGCUUCAGGAAAUGCUCUGUCAGCUGAAAAAUCUCCGUGUUUGACCAACCAGUCGCUAACAGUGCCUGCUGCGCCGGCUGUGAAAGUUAACUUGAACUUGAUACUUGAACAAAUAUUCGCCGCCGCCCGCGCCUUUUGACUUCUUUCCAACAUAUAUUGCUAGGUCUGUGGCAAUAGUAGUAACUUCAGCCCUAGUAUAGCCAUACCCAAAAUUUGCCAUGGUGUCAAUAUGUGAAACAAGUCCCUGUUCUUGGUGAUCAGACACGUGAAUAACAUUUUUUUAACAUAUGUGACCCAUGUAAUGCGACCAGCAUCAUCUAGAGACUUCAACAUUAUAUAACAUUGGGUAUCUGGUACUAGGUAAAUAUAAUAAAUGUAACCAAAAUUUA
rnacentral:lncRNA from 1 species